rnacentral:pre_miRNA from 1 species
GCUGAGACUCAGCUGCUGACUCGUUGGUUCAAGAGCUCACCAUCAAGGUAAAUGUCGGUCCAUGGUCCAUGUAACAAUAAAGGUGGUGUGCUUCUGAUACAACGAUGCGGGAGCUGCAUCCAGUCG